rnacentral:rRNA from 1 species
UACGGAGGGGGCUAGCGUUGUUCGGAAUGACUGGGCGUAAAGCGCGCGUAGGCGGAUCAUCAAGUCGGGGGUGAAAUCCCGGGGCUCAACCCCGGAACGGCCUUCGAGACUGGUGGUCUUGAGUUCGAGAGAGGUGGGUGGAAUUCCGAGUGUAGAGGUGAAAUUCGUAGAUAUUCGGAGGAACACCAGUGGCGAAGGCGGCCCACUGGCUCGACACUGACGCUGAGGCGGCGAAA